rnacentral:rRNA from 1 species
AUUGAACGCUGGCGGCAGGCUUAACACAUGCAAGUCGAGCGGAGAGAGGUAGCUUGCUACUGAUCUUAGCGGCGGACGGGUGAGUAAUGCUUAGGAAUCUGCCUAUUAGUGGGGGACAACAUUUCGAAAGGAAUGCUAAUACCGCAUACGUCCUUCGGGAGAAAGCAGGGGAUCUUCGGACCUUGCGCUAAUAGAUGAGCCUAAGUCGGAUUAGCUAGUUGGUGGGGUAAAGGCCUACCAAGGCGACGAUCUGUAGCGGGUCUGAGAGGAUGAUCCGCCGCACUGGGACUGAGACACGGCCCAGACUCCUACGGGAGGCAGCAGUGGGGAAUAUUGGACAAGGGGCGCAAGCCUGAUCCGGCCAUGCCGCGUGUGUGAAGAAGGCCUUAUGGUUGUAAAGCACUUUAAGCGAGGAGGAGGCUACUUUAGUUAAUACCUAGAGAUAGUGGACGUUACUCGCAGAAUAAGCACCGGCUAACUCUGUGCCAGCCGCCGCGGUAA